rnacentral:rRNA from 1 species
AACGUAGGACACAAGCGUUAUCCGGAGUUACUGGGCGUAAAGGGCGUGUAGGCGGACGUGUAAGUCUAUUCUGAAAGCUCCUGGCUAAACUGGGAGAGGCGAAUGGAGACUGCAUAUCUAGAGUGCGGUAGAGGUAGCCGGAAUUCCCGGUGUAGCGGUGAAAUGCGUAGAUAUCGGGAGGAAUACCUAUGGCGAAAGCAGGCUACUGGACCGUCACUGACUCUGAUCUGCGAAAGCUAGGGGAGCAAACAGG